GUCUAUGGCGAUACCACCCUGAACGCGCCCAAUCUCAUCGGAUCUCGGAAGCUAAGCAGGGUCGGGCCUGGUUAGUACUUGGAUGGGAGAAAUUGGGUCUGAGCAGAAC
rnacentral:rRNA from 1 species